CCUACGGGAGGCAGCAGUGAGGAAUAUUGGUCAAUGGACGAGAGUCUGAACCAGCCAAGUAGCGUGAAGGAUGACUGCCCUAUGGGUUGUAAACUUCUUUUAUAUGGGAAUAAAAUGUUCCACGUGUGGGAUUUUGUAUGUACCAUAUGAAUAAGGAUCGGCUAACUCCGUGCCAGCAGCCGCGGUAAUACGGAGGAUCCGAGCGUUAUCCGGAUUUAUUGGGUUUAAAGGGAGCGUAGGUGGAUUGUUAAGUCAGUUGUGAAAGUUUGAGGCUCAACCGUAAAAUUGCAGUUGAAACUGGCAGUCUUGAGUACAGUAGAGGUGGGCGGAAGUCGUGGUGUAGCGGUGAAAUGCUUAGAUAUCACGAAGAACUCCGAUUGCGAAGGCAGUUCACUGGACUGCAACUGACACUGAGGCUCGAAAGUGUGGGUAUCAAACAGGAUUAGAUACCCUAGUAGUC
rnacentral:rRNA from 1 species